UUAAAUUGAAGAGUUUGAUCAUGGCUCAGAUUGAACGCUGGCGGCAGGCCUAACACAUGCAAGUCGAACGGUAACAGGAAGCAGCUUGCUGCUUUGCUGACGAGUGGCGGACGGGUGAGUAAUGUCUGGGAAACUGCCUGAUGGAGGGGGAUAACUACUGGAAACGGUAGCUAAUACCGCAUAACGUCGCAAGACCAAAGAGGGGGACCUUAGGGCCUCUUGCCAUCGGAUGUGCCCAGAUGGGAUUAGCUAGUAGGUGGGGUAACGGCUCACCUAGGCGACGAUCCCUAGCUGGUCUGAGAGGAUGA
rnacentral:rRNA from 1 species